rnacentral:rRNA from 1 species
UACAGAGGGUGCAAGCGUUAAUCGGAAUUACUGGGCGUAAAGCGCACGUAGGUGGCUUGAUAAGUUGGGUGUGAAAUCCCCGGGCUUAACCUGGGAAUUGCAUUCAAGACUGUCUUGCUAGAGUGUGGAAGAGGGAAGCGGAAUUUCAGGUGUAGCGGUGAAAUGCGUAGAUAUCUGGAGGAACAUCAGUGGCGAAGGCGGCUUCCUGGUCCAACACUGACACUGAGGUGCGAAAGCGUGGGGAGCAAACAGG